rnacentral:lncRNA from 1 species
UCGGUGGUCAGAGGAGUAGAGGAGCCUCUUCCCGGCAAGGCCACUGCUCCACGAGCACCUCUCAAGGGCUGAGGGUUAGUCGGAUGGGGCUGCGAUGUGCCGAGCCCCCUGUCCACCCUUAGCCCUGGAGUGACUGUUUGCCUGCUAGCUUCCCAGGAGUAUCCUGCUAGGGAUUUACACCAGGGGGUUGGUGUGCAGGCACCGGGGUACUCAGUGAGGGGGACUCAGAAGAGACAGAGUUUAAGGUUUUAGCCCAUCGGGACCGUUUGGCCUGAGCAUUACCCCACUCCCCUGAGCCUCCACCCUCUCAGUGACAGCUCCUCCUGCAAUCAGACCCCCAAAGGCCCCAAACUGUUUCUUCAGGCAGACUUGGCUACAGCUGUCUUCUCCCUGGGCUGCUGGCACACUGCCCCUAGCCCUGAGCAGCCUGGGCCUGUAUGUGUUGGCAUCUGCAGGGAGCAGGACCUCAGCACUGACCAUGGUCUAUCCUGGGCUGGGUGGUUCUUGGGCUCCCACAAAAAGAGCUGGAGCUGCAAAGGAACUAACUGAGAGGAGCCCCUGAGCCUGGGAGCAAGGAUCUGGAAGAAAGUGCUGGGAGAGACCACGCCAAGGUAGGAGCCUGGCUUUCUUCACCUCGUGGGCCGCCACCCCAGGGAGGCAGGACACCGAACUGUGAUCAGUAUGACGGGCCUGGCAGCAAGGCCCAUUCUCCCAGGCAAGAGGCCCCACUUCUGCAGAAGGGCCCCUGCAGCUACAGGGAGCGUGCAGGCACUGGGGAUGGUGGGUCUGUUCCUGCUGCCCAAGCUCUGUCUGCGACGGUUCCGCUCUGCGGAGGCCCUUUCUCAUUGUCCUUGAGUUGGCCUGCACACGGGCCUUUGAAGGCCUGGUCUUCCUCCCCACUUCUGCUCCCUCCUGUCUUGGCAGGACCAUCAGAGGAGGAAGGAGCCCCUGUGACCCGGAAAGCCUCUAGUCUGGGCCCCAUCAAACAUCAGGGGGCAGGCCAGCUCCCAGGGGGGCUCAGGACCACCCAACUCUGAGGGCAGAGGCCACUGCCAGCUCCAGCCUUCCAGGAUGCUGCCGCCUGAGGCUGGGCCCCUGCCCAGCUGACCCGGCUGCUUCCCUUUGGGGGUUGCAGGCCAGCGAUCAAAGGCAUCCAUGGAGGCUCUGCUCUGUGCCACACAUGAGCCACACUCCCCCAGGCCGCAGAGGAGCAAGGUGCACAAGCCUGAGUGAGGAAUCCGCUGCCUUUUGAAGUCUCUGUGAGCUUCCUGCCCAUCCCAGUAGGAACUGGGGCAGGGGUCAGAAUCAUAAUGGCAGAAAGGUGCCUCAGGGCCGAGGCCUUGAGCACUGCUCACUUACAGUUUCCCGGGGCUGAGUCCAGGGCCAAAGCUGGGCCCCUGGGAGGCAGGAUAGCCCACCACGCAGGGCCUGCUGGGGCGAGGAUGCCCACCACCACCAGCUGCACAGCAAGUGGCCAGAGGCUCUGAAGCGCGAAACCCUGCCCAAGAGGAAUUUGGAGGAGACUCCACCCUCCACCGGAAGGCAGGAAUGGAGCCGGACCUGACGUCCCCCACUGUCCCCAGAGGGUGGUCCCCUGAGUAGGAGCAAAGCCUGCAACUCACUGUUCCUUGUCCCUCCACAAGGAAAGGUUUCCUGGGCUCCUCACCAGCAGAGAAGGGGCCAAGUGCAGUAGCUCAUGCAUGUAAUCCCAGCACUUUGGGAGGCCGAGGCGGGUGGACCACCUGAGGUCAGGAGUUCGAGACCAGCCUGGCAAACAUGGCAAAACCCCGUCUCUACUAAAAAUACAAAAAUAUGCCAGGCGUGGUAGCAGGUGUCUGUAAUCCCAGCUACUCGGGAGGCUGAGGCAGAAUUGCUUGAACCUGGGAGGCAGAGGUUGCAGUGAGCCGAGAUCGCGCCAUUGCACUCCAGCCUGGGCAACAAGAGCGAAACUGCAUCUCAAAAAAAGAAAAAAACCAGCAGUGAAGGGCCAGCCAGGCCGUGGCCACCACGUGCAGCCGCCUGUCCCAGGUAUGUGGUCAUCCCAUGUGAUGCUGAUCCUCUGUGUGUGGGGACAAGCCUCGCUGGCUGUGAUUGAGCAGCUGACCUAAGAGCCUUCCCAUCCUUCAGUUCUGUAGUUCUCCGCCCAGCUUAGUCCCUAGAUGGGUGCAGGUGACUACGGGGUUAAGGAACAGUUGCACCCCUUGAUUUUUUUUUUUUGGGAAGGAGUCUCGCUCUUUCGCCCAGGCCGGAGUGCAGUGGCGCUAUCUUGGCUCACUGCAAGCUCUGCCUCCUGGGUUCACGCCAUUCUCCUGCAUCAGCCUCCCGAGUAGCUGGGACUACAGGCGCCCGCCACCACGCCCGGCUAUUUUUUUGUAUUUUUAGUAGAGAUGGGGUUUAACUGUGUUAGCCAGGAUGGUCUCGAUCUCCUGACCUUGUGAUCCGCCCGCCUCGGCCUCCCAAAGUUCUGGGAUUACAGGCGUGAGACACUGCGCCCGGUCUUGUUUGUCUUUUAGAGGUAGAGUCUCGUUCUUUUGCCCAGGCCUGAGGCUCAAGUGAGGUCGAGGACUCAAAUGAUCUUUUUUUAUUUUUGGAGACUGAGUCUCGCUCUGU